rnacentral:miRNA from 1 species
UUAAAACACAUACUAUUCG